rnacentral:lncRNA from 1 species
GGCUCUUUCUCUCUCUCUCUCUCUCUCCCAAAAUCACCGCCCCUCUUCUCCCUCCAAGAUCCGCCGCCGCCUGCUCCUACCCCGGCGAUGUUCGCCGACUCCGAUGUCUUCCCCCCACUCGUCGCCUUCCCUAUCUCACCACCCUCUCUCUUAACCAGUCACGCCGCCACCCCUCUUCCCGAUGAGAUCGUCGCCGGCCACCACCCUUCCCUUGCUCGUCAACCUCCCUCUCUCACCAUCCUCCCAUCUGCCUCCCCCAUUCUCGCGCCCGUGUCCGAAGGCAGACGGCCAUGGAGGAAACGCCACCGCCGCCGCUCGCCUGCCUCGGCCGAGUUCAGCGGCGUCGGGUGCCGCCUUGCACCGUCCUGCCUCAAACCGCGCCGCCUGGCCUGCCUUCACCGUGAGCAGCCACGGGCUGCCACCACCCAUGCGGCGCCGGUCGCCGCAUCAUUGUCAGCCCGGCAUCGGGCCUCCGACAACCUCCCCCUCUUCUCUUCACUCAUUCCCAAACCAAAACAGCAAAAUGAAAUUCUCAGAUUUGUAAAGAUUUGAUUUUUGGUGCAUUGGUCAAGGUAUUUCUUUAAUAGAAACAGUUGGGUAUUUGGAUUUCGUAAGUUAAUCUUUUGUGAAAAUCAUGUUGGUGAUGUUUCCGUAAGGAAAAAUAAGAACCAAACAGAAGAAAAUAGUUGCUGUAUUAAAAUGAAAAUACAUAGAUUUACAGAGAUAAUUGGGGUUACCAGCUGGAAUUCAUGUUGAUUGCUUCCUACCGCAGCCUGAGGAAGUGACUCUUGCGGUGGAAUAGUGUAAGAAAAGUUGAGGUAAUUUAUGAAGGUGGAUGGAUUGACGUGGUUGAAACAACGCCAAAGCUUUUGGGAAAAGAAUGUCAAAUUUGUGAAAAAUAUCUUGUACAGUUAGACUUGGAGAGAAAGGAAAAUAUUACAGUUCUCACAGACACACACACGCAUGUUUCAGCUUCCCACACUGAUCUCCAAAUUUUGGGCCAACAUUGAUCUCACCAAAUUUUGGGUUGGAGGCCCAAGAAAAAUUAAUAACUCACAGAUAAAUAUUAUUGGGCUUGAGGCCCAAUAAAAUAAAUAAAUAGACAAAUAACUAAAUAGAAUGGAAAAAAAAAAAAAAAAAAAUAAAUGAAUACUUGUGAAAAUAUUUUUCAUAUACCUUAAUAACGGGCUCAAGACAUUUGAUCAAUAAAAUAAUAGUAAUGAACUUCAAUUUAUAAAAUCUCUUUAAAAUAGUAUAAUUUAUUAAAUACCGGGCGUGUAUCAAUAGUAUUCUAAUUUUAAAGGUCUUCAAUAUUUCCUAUGA